rnacentral:rRNA from 1 species
UACGGAGGGGACUAGCGUUGUUCGGAAUUACUGGGCGUAAAGCGCACGUAGGCGGAUUUGUUAGUCAGGGGUGAAAUCCCGAGGCUCAACCUCGGAACUGCCUUUGAUACUGCAAAUCUCGAGUCCGGAAGAGGUGAGUGGAAUUCCUAGUGUAGAGGUGAAAUUCGUAGAUAUUAGGAAGAACACCAGUGGCGAAGGCGGCUCACUGGUCCGGUACUGAUGCUGAGGUGCGAAAGCGUGGGGAGCAAACAGGG